rnacentral:rRNA from 1 species
GACGAACGCUGGCGGCGUGCCUAACACAUGCAAGUCGAGCGGAGUCGAUCGACGGAAGCCUUCGGGCGGAAGAUGGUUGACUUAGCGGCGGAUGGGUGAGUAACGCGUGGGCAACCUGCCUCGAAGACCGGGAUAACAGCCCGAAAGGGCUGCUAAUACCGGAUGUGGUCAAGGAUCCGCAUGGAUUUUUGAUUAAAGGGGAAACCCGUUUCGAGAUGGGCCCGCGUCCUAUCAGCUAGUUGGUGAGGUAAAAGCUCACCAAGGCGACGACGGGUAGCCGGCCUGAGAGGGUGACCGGCCACACUGGAACUGAGACACGGUCCAGACUCCUACGGGGGCAGCAGUGGGGAAUCUUCCACAAUGGGCGAAAGCCUGAUGGAGCGACGCCGCGUGAGCGAAGAAGGCCUUCGGUUGUAAGCUCUGUCUGGAGGGACGAAGGAAGUGACGGUACCUCCGGAGGAAGCCACGGCGUAACUACGUGCCAGCAGCCGCGGUAAAGUACGUACUACUACUCGU